rnacentral:rRNA from 1 species
UACGUAGGGUGCAGGCGUUAAUCGGAAUUACUGGGCGUAAAGCGUGCGCAGGCGGUGAUGUAAGACAGAUGUGAAAUCCCCGGGCUCAACCUGGGAACUGCAUUUGUGACUGCAUCGCUGGAGUACGGCAGAGGGGGAUGGAAUUCCGCGUGUAGCAGUGAAAUGCGUAGAUAUGCGGAGGAACACCGAUGGCGAAGGCAAUCCCCUGGGCCUGUACUGACGCUCAUGCACGAAAGCGUGGGGAGCAAACAGG